CAAAGCAUAGCUUAAACUAAAGCACCUAGUUUACACCUAGAAGAUCCCAUAAUAUAUGGGUACUUUGAACC
rnacentral:tRNA from 1 species